UACUUGUAUUUAUGCUGAGCCAUGGUGGCCC
rnacentral:piRNA from 1 species